GAUUAAGUUAUUAAGGGCGCACGGUGGAUGCCUUGGCACUAGAAGCCGAUGAAGGACGUUACUAACGACGAUAUGCUUUGGGGAGCUGUAAGUAAGCUUUGAUCCAGAGAUUUCCGAAUGGGGAAACCCAGCAUGAGUUAUGUCAUGUUAUCGAUAUGUGAAUACAUAGCAUAUCAGAAGGCACACCCGGAGAACUGAAACAUCUUAGUACCCGGAGGAAGAGAAAGAAAAUUCGAUUCCCUUAGUAGCGGCGAGCGAAACGGGAAGAGCCCAAACCAACAAGCUUGCUUGUUGGGGUUGUAGGACACUCUAUACGGAGUUACAAAGGACGACAUUAGACGAAUCAUCUGGAAAGAUGAAUCAAAGAAGGUAAUAAUCCUGUAGUCGAAAAUGUUGUCUCUCUUGAGUGGAUCCUGAGUACGACGGAGCACGUGAAAUUCCGUCGGAAUCUGGGAGGACCAUCUCCUAAGGCUAAAUACUCUCUAGUGACCGAUAGUGAACCAGUACCGUGAGGGAAAGGUGAAAAGCACCCCGGAAGGGGAGUGAAAUAGAACCUGAAACCGUGUGCUUACAAGUAGUCAGAGCCCGUUAAUGGGUGAUGGCGUGCCUUUUGUAGAAUGAACCGGCGAGUUACGAUUUGAUGCAAGGUUAAGCAGUAAAUGUGGAGCCGUAGCGAAAGCGAGUCUGAAUAGGGCGUUUAGUAUUUGGUCGUAGACCCGAAACCAGGUGAUCUACCCUUGGUCAGGUUGAAGUUCAGGUAACACUGAAUGGAGGACCGAACCGACUUACGUUGAAAAGUGAGCGGAUGAACUGAGGGUAGCGGAGAAAUUCCAAUCGAACCUGGAGAUAGCUGGUUCUCUCCGAAAUAGCUUUAGGGCUAGCCUCAAGUGAUGAUUAUUGGAGGUAGAGCACUGUUUGGACGAGGGGCCCCUCUCGGGUUACCGAAUUCAGACAAACUCCGAAUGCCAAUUAAUUUAACUUGGGAGUCAGAACAUGGGUGAUAAGGUCCGUGUUCGAAAGGGAAACAGCCCAGACCACCAGCUAAGGUCCCAAAAUAUAUGUUAAGUGGAAAAGGAUGUGGCGUUGCCCAGACAACUAGGAUGUUGGCUUAGAAGCAGCCAUCAUUUAAAGAGUGCGUAAUAGCUCACUAGUCGAGUGACACUGCGCCGAAAAUGUACCGGGGCUAAACAUAUUACCGAAGCUGUGGAUUGUCCUUUGGACAAUGGUAGGAGAGCGUUCUAAGGGCGUUGAAGCAUGAUCGUAAGGACAUGUGGAGCGCUUAGAAGUGAGAAUGCCGGUGUGAGUAGCGAAAGACGGGUGAGAAUCCCGUCCACCGAUUGACUAAGGUUUCCAGAGGAAGGCUCGUCCGCUCUGGGUUAGUCGGGUCCUAAGCUGAGGCCGACAGGCGUAGGCGAUGGAUAACAGGUUGAUAUUCCUGUACCACCUAUAAUCGUUUUAAUCGAUGGGGGGACGCAGUAGGAUAGGCGAAGCGUGCGAUUGGAUUGCACGUCUAAGCAGUAAGGCUGAGUAUUAGGCAAAUCCGGUACUCGUUAAGGCUGAGCUGUGAUGGGGAGAAGACAUUGUGUCUUCGAGUCGUUGAUUUCACACUGCCGAGAAAAGCCUCUAGAUAGAAAAUAGGUGCCCGUACCGCAAACCGACACAGGUAGUCAAGAUGAGAAUUCUAAGGUGAGCGAGCGAACUCUCGUUAAGGAACUCGGCAAAAUGACCCCGUAACUUCGGGAGAAGGGGUGCUCUUUAGGGUUAACGCCCAGAAGAGCCGCAGUGAAUAGGCCCAAGCGACUGUUUAUCAAAAACACAGGUCUCUGCUAAACCGUAAGGUGAUGUAUAGGGGCUGACGCCUGCCCGGUGCUGGAAGGUUAAGAGGAGUGGUUAGCUUCUGCGAAGCUACGAAUCGAAGCCCCAGUAAACGGCGGCCGUAACUAUAACGGUCCUAAGGUAGCGAAAUUCCUUGUCGGGUAAGUUCCGACCCGCACGAAAGGCGUAACGAUUUGGGCACUGUCUCAACGAGAGACUCGGUGAAAUCAUAGUACCUGUGAAGAUGCAGGUUACCCGCGACAGGACGGAAAGACCCCGUGGAGCUUUACUGUAUCCUGAUAUUGAAAUUCGGCACAGCUUGUACAGGAUAGGUAGGAGCCUUUGAAACGUGAGCGCUAGCUUACGUGGAGGCGCUGGUGGGAUACUACCCUAGCUGUGUUGGCUUUCUAACCCGCACCACUUAUCGUGGUGGGAGACAGUGUCAGGCGGGCAGUUUGACUGGGGCGGUCGCCUCCUAAAAGGUAACGGAGGCGCUCAAAGGUUCCCUCAGAAUGGUUGGAAAUCAUUCAUAGAGUGUAAAGGCAUAAGGGAGCUUGACUGCGAGACCUACAAGUCGAGCAGGGUCGAAAGACGGACUUAGUGAUCCGGUGGUUCCGCAUGGAAGGGCCAUCGCUCAACGGAUAAAAGCUACCCCGGGGAUAACAGGCUUAUCUCCCCCAAGAGUUCACAUCGACGGGGAGGUUUGGCACCUCGAUGUCGGCUCAUCGCAUCCUGGGGCUGUAGUCGGUCCCAAGGGUUGGGCUGUUCGCCCAUUAAAGCGGUACGCGAGCUGGGUUCAGAACGUCGUGAGACAGUUCGGUCCCUAUCCGUCGUGGGCGUAGGAAAUUUGAGAGGAGCUGUCCUUAGUACGAGAGGACCGGGAUGGACAUACCUCUGGUGUACCAGUUGUCGUGCCAACGGCAUAGCUGGGUAGCUAUGUGUGGACGGGAUAAGUGCUGAAAGCAUCUAAGCAUGAAGCCCCCCUCAAGAUGAGAUUUCCCAACUUCGGUUAUAAGAUCCCUCAAAGAUGAUGAGGUUAAUAGGUUCGAGGUGGAAGCAUGGUGACAUGUGGAGCUGACGAAUACUAAUCGAUCGAAGACUUAAUCAA
rnacentral:rRNA from 1 species